UGACCUCAAAUCGGGUGAGACUACCCGCUGAACUUAAGCAUAUCA
rnacentral:rRNA from 10 species